rnacentral:rRNA from 1 species
CCCUUAGAUGUUCUGGGCUGCACGCGCGCUACACUGAUGCAUCCAACAAGUUUUUUCCCUUGUCCGGUAGGACUGGGUAAUCUUUUGAGUAUGCAUCGUGAUGGGGAUAGAUUAUUGCAAUUAUUAAUCUUCAACGAGGAAUGCCUAGUAAGCGCAAGUCAUCAGCUUGCGUUGAUUACGUCCCUGCCCUUUGUACACACCGCCCGUCGCUCCUACCGAUUGAAUGGUCCGGUGAAGCGUUCGGACCGUGGCCUUUGGACGGUUCGCCGUCUGUUGGCUGCGGGAAGUUCGUUAAACCUUAUCAUUUAGAGGAAGGAGAAGUCGUANCA